rnacentral:lncRNA from 1 species
CAGCGGCCAGAAUGAGUCUUUUAAAAUUUAAGUCAGAUCAGCUCCAAGCCUUCCAAUGGAAGAAACGGGGAGAGGAGUUUGGAGGCUGUUGCUGUCACGCAGCUCAGUGAUGACUGGAAUUUGACUGAGGUGCUGCUGCAGGAUGGCUCCUAAGAAAUAAUAUCAGCCAGCACCUGCUGCAAAGGGGCAUCCCAGGAUGUGUGACUGAAUCCUGUGGCAACACUGCGAGGUUGGCAUCAUUACCCCCACACCCUCCCCAACCGAGGAAAGAGCUGGAACCUGGGGAGAUGAAUGACUUGAUGUCCCACAGCCAACUGGCCUGCAGGCCCAGGGCAGGAACGAUCUGCGUAGGGUGAUUUUUCACACCACUGUAUCCCUAGUACCUAGACCGUCCACAUGGAACAGAUGUGAUCACCAAGUUUUAGAAGAAACUUGCAAGCCCAUCGUCCAACACUUAACAUCUUUAUAGAUGGGGAAAUCCAAAGACGACAACUCAGCCCUGUCCCUCGUUGCAUGGUGUUUGGUGGAUGACUUGGCAUGAAGCAUCAUAUCUACAAGAAAAACAAGUCAAAGGCUGAUGCCUCUGAUGGGGAAAUCACCACUCUCUCAGUGGGCAGCCACAGGAAAUGGGUACCUGUCUAUACUGGGGCCACAGGAUUAUGGGGCAAUAUCCCACAUGCCAGAGCAUAACAUAGAGGCUCAUUAAGGACAGAUAUUUGGGAGUGUAUAUUUAUCAAAAAUUCAGAUGGGUGAAUGGCCAUCACAAAUGGGAGAGAGAACUGUUAGCCAACGGGUGACUCAGGGGCUGAGUGUGCACCCCUGUUAUGAAAACUGAUUGUUAAAAAAAAAAAAAAAGUUGUUUGCACUCAUCACAGAUAUCAACAUUUGAAGGCACUGGCUGAUUCCAACUUAUGGCAUAAAUGACUAUUCAAUCGCAAUUGGAAUAGCUUAGACAAAUUAUCUGUGAUUAAAGCAGGCCAAUUUCUCAAAAUAAAAGUCCAACCUGGAGCACAAAUGAGCCUAAGCGCUUGGUCCUUGGAAUAGUGACUUUUCUCUCUUGCAAAGCUUGGUCUCUAACCAAAUAAGUAUUUACCUAUACAUUUAGAGUUCAGAUCAAUAGGAGGAAGAUGAAAUAGCCAAGACUGCUUUUGUUGCACAUGACAAUGACAUAACUCAUCUUGUUUAAGAAUGAAAGGAGGCCGGGUGCGGUGGCUCACGCCUGCAAUCUAAACACUUUGGGAGGCUGAGGCAGGCGGAUCAUGAGGUCAGGAGAUCGAGACCUUCCUGGCUAACAUGGUGAAACCCCAUCUCUACUAAAAAUACAAAAAAUUAGCCCGGCGAGGUGGCAGACGCCUGUAGUCCCAGCUACUCGGGAGGCUGAGGCAGGAGAAUGGCGUGAACCUGAGAGGCGGAGCUUGCAGUGAGCCGAGAUCAUGCCACUGCACUCCAGCCUGGGCAACAGAGCGAGACUCCAACUCAAAAAAAAAAAAAAAAGAAUGAAAGGGAACUUAGCACUUGUAACUGAAGCAUCCAAGUUUACUGCUGACUUCAGGCAUGCUGGAUCCAGGCGGCGAGAAGCGUUAUCAAGAAUGUGUCAUUCUCUAUUUCUUGGCUCUGCUUUCCUCUAUAUUGCCAUUACUUUCAAGUAGGCUGUCUCCAUGUGAAUGGCAAAGCAAUCAUCUGUAGCUUCAGGCCUAGAUGGUCCCCACAACUGGUGGCUCCAAAAGAAACCAAAAGAAACACACACACACACACACACACACACAUACACACACACACACACACACACACACACACCCCUUUUUCCCAAUAGCUCUCACGAAAGUCCCAGGCAAGAAUCUCUCUGGCUAUACUUGGAACACAUACCCAACCCAGAACCCAUUCUCCUUGUUGGCCAUUUUGUGCAUAUCCAGGUGAUCACCAUGACCAGCCAUGCUGCCAUAAGGAUUCUUUUCAAGUCUCUUUAGGCAUCCACAUAAGGGGUACUGUGGAGUAUAGAGAUGACUAUUUCUUUGAAUACUGUGAUAGAUGCAAUAGUAGACUUGCAUUCAAGGUACCAUAGUACAGUAUAAGAAAAAAUAUAUAUGCCUUUGUAAACUGUGCUUACUCGCUCAGGAGCAGGGGGACGCCCCCUUCUUAAGGGAAGAGCCGGCAUCACACGCCCUCCCAGCUCAAGCUUCCCCUGCGACCUGCACGUGUGUGAAUUGGCAGGCCCCACUAAUAUUGGUAUUUCCCUCUCAUUCCUACUAUUACCCCUGCCAAGCUUGGGAUGGCAGAGUUGGAGUCAUAUCCAUUCUAGGAGCCUAAAGAUGUGACUCCUCUGCAUUGAUGAGAGACACGGAAGAGGGAAAAGCAAGGAAAGACUUUAGUGAGCUCUGAAGUCCCACCUGCCACUCCACUAAAUGCCAGAAUCAUCUGGCCUCACUUAGUGGGUGGAGCAAAUUCCUGCCCCCCAGGGCCUCCCUCCUGAACCUGCAAGGUUGGUGGGAGAGGGAGACCCUCCCCAAAAGAGGAAGCCUGUUGUGUUGAGAGUGAUUUCAGAGACCUCAGCCAGGAAAGGUAAAUCAAAAUAACCCUUACACUCCGCCUCCUUCUUCCUUUAGAGGGGAAUGUUUCCUGGCACGGGUGCUGCAGCUUAAUAAAUUGCAUGCAGUAGAUUUCAGGCCUUGAGAAAAUCUUAACACUAGCUAAUAUGACCAGCACUAACAAAAUUUCUUGGAGCUUAUAAUAACAAAAAAAGCUCAUUGACGGAUUCCCACUUUUAUUCCUGCCCCCCUUUUCCACUUAGCCUUAAAUUUUUUUUAAUAAGAAAUUUUUAUUAACAAAAACAACAACAAAAAAAAAACAGAGUGAAGCACUUCACAAGAUCUUGCCCAGUUUAUUUUUUUAAUCUGUAAUAAUGAGCAUAACAGUUCAGCAAUGGAAUACUCACUCCAACAAAAUCUCCAGAUCUUUACAUCCUGAGUCUGCGAGGGCUGGACACAUGCCCUUGCUAAUUAUCAACCUUCUGAAACAGCUCAAGACAUGGGAUUAAAAACUGCUGUGGAAUUUGAACUCACGGACAUUCAUCUGAGUCAGCUACUCUGAACUCGCAUCUACUAUAAGGACCUGAGCAUUUCCUUCUCCCGUUUCCUCAGGACCUGCUCGGGGGUGUUCAGGGGAAGGUUGUCACAAACAUACUUGCAAUAAAAAUAAUCAAACAAAUGGAGAGCAUGUCUAUUUCCGGAAUUAGAUUCUUUUGAUAGUGAAGGAAUCAAAUGGGAUAAGGGGCAGGGAGAAGUCAGGUAAGUCCAAUAUUACUAUGUCCACAUGCUUAAAUUUCACUCCUCGGGGGCUUAUUGUCCCUAACAAUGGCCCUUUUAGCUAUGGAAUACGGGGAAUGACUAACCUUUUUCUAGCCUGUCAGUGAGAACUACCACUAUAUAUUGGUAAGUAUUUCCGUACAAAAUUCACUUGGAAAGGAUAUUGUUUCAAGCCUGGACAAAGCUCAUAUUGUCAUGUUCCAGUUCCAGUUAUUUUAGGCAAGGAAGGGGAAUUUCCACUGCUCCCUACAAUCAGUUUUGAGCACUUAGCUCUGAGUAAUAACUUCCUUGUAAUCUGUCAGAGCC